rnacentral:sRNA from 1 species
UAGAAGUCCUAGAAAUUAAAGCCCUAUUUUAUCAUAGCACAGGUACAGGAAAGACAGUGGGAAUGCAAGCUUCCCCAGCAUGCCCCAUCAUAAUGUUUCAACCCUAACGAUGGAAAGGAUCAAGGCUAAGAGCCUAAAUGUCCCUUGCCCUGUAUCUUCAUGUACA